UCUGUGUUUAAAUCAUAUAAAUUCAGUACGUUAAACUGGAUCUGUGCCCUAGUUCUCAUCUGCACCUGGAUCCUUUCAAACCUCCGAUCAUAACCAGAGGAGAAAUAUGGCAGCCUCAUUUUUUCCCUUCCACAGGAAUAUUGAUUUUGCGAGGGAACAAAGGAGGAUGGAAAACGCUGGAGACAGACAGAGUGUGUUUUCUGCACUGAAGUGGAUUAAAGUCUUCAUAGUGUUUCGUCACGGCUUGCAGCGCCAAUGCAAUGAGUGCAAUCAGGCUUUAUAAAAACACACCGUGGAUGAGAGUUGGGAAGCUGAUUGGAGAGCCUUACAGAAGUGUGUGUGUGUGUGUGUGUGUUCACAGCCCCUGAACGCUGCAAAAGGCAUUGUUAUUAGUAUUGAUCCAUAUCCUUGACUUAGGUGGUAAAAAUGUGCUCUAUUAUUAGGCCUGUGUGCUGUGUUUUCACUAUUUGAGAGCGGUCCUCUCCAGGAUGAGAUGUGUGGAAGCCUCUAAAUCUUGUCUCAAAUACACAAUGAAGACCUUUAAAGGUCAGGUUACCUUAAUAUGGACCUCCAAUCUAAUGGAAAUUGCAUAUUGUUGUUGGUCUCUCUCAACUGGAGCAUGAAUGUUGUGAAAGUGUUAAAUAGAUGCACUUUAAAAACAAACCAAAAUGACUCUUUAGAGAAAAGGAAAUAAAGGAAAAAGAGUCAGUGA